GUUUAAUACAGAUGUAUAUAAAAGGAGCCACGGACAGAUGCCAGACAAGAGCUCUCUUGAGCUUCCAGCCCAUUACGUACCAGUGCAUCGAUAUCACUGCUGUCAGAAUCUGAUGGCAUUGGUACUCUUCCAAUUUGAACCACAUUCCUGGCUUGUGGGGUUUUCUCUUUUAACUGUUGGAUUUAAAAAAUGUCCUCUUUCUUGGGGAUUUUCUAAGGGGAGGUAAAGGACCAGGAGAGCUCUGUUGAGACAAAAUCAAAAUAUUGAUACAAAGUACUGAAAGUCAGACUUUUGUUGAUGUUUCAUUAUACCGGUACAUCAAGAUCAACUCCCCAUUUCUUCAUCACAACUGUUUAAAAACUGAUAUCAAAAACAAAGUCUAUGUCUAUAUUUUUGGAUUUUCCAACAUGCAACCAGAUGCAUGGUAAUUAGAUAAAGAGAUGGUUUGUGCAUAAUAAAGAUAA